rnacentral:rRNA from 1 species
AUUGAACGCUGGCGGCAGGCCUAACACAUGCAAGUCGAGCGGUAGCACAGAGAGCUUGCUCUCGGGUGACGAGCGGCGGACGGGUGAGUAAUGUCUGGGAAACUGCCUGAUGGAGGGGGAUAACUACUGGAAACGGUAGCUAAUACCGCAUAACGUCGCAAGACCAAAGUGGGGGACCUUCGGGCCUCAUGCCAUCAGAUGUGCCCAGAUGGGAUUAGCUGGUAGGUGGGGUAACGGCUCACCUAGGCGACGAUCCCUAGCUGGUCUGAGAGGAUGACCAGCCACACUGGAACUGGGACACGGUCCAGACUCCUACGGGAGGCAGCAGUGGGGAAUAUUGCACAAUGGGCGAAAGCCUGAUGCGUCCAUGCCGCGUGUGUGAAGAAGGCCUUCGGGUUGUAAAGCACUUUCAGCGGGGAGGAAGGCGAUGAGGUUAAUAACCUCAUCGAUUGACGUUACCCGCAGAAGAAGCACCGGCUAACUCCGUGCCAGCCGCCGCCGUAA